rnacentral:rRNA from 1 species
GCAUAUCAAUAAGCGGAGGAAAAGAAACUAACAAGGAUUCCCCUAGUAACGGCGAGUGAAGCGGGAAGAGCUCAAAUUUAAAAUCUGGCAGGCUACGCUUGUCCGAAUUGUAAUCUCGAGAAGUGUUUUCCGCGUUGGCCUGUGUACAAGUCCCUUGGAACAGGGCGUCAUAGAGGGUGAGAAUCCCGUCCUUGACACAGACACCCAAUGCUUUGUGAUACACUCUCAAUGAGUCGAGUUGUUUGGGAAUGCAGCUCAAAAUGGGUGGUAAAUUCCAUCUAAAGCUAAAUACUGGCGAGAGACCGAUAGCGAACAAGUACCGUGAGGGAAAGAUGAAAAGCACUUUGGAAAGAGAGUCAAACAGUACGUGAAAUUGUUGAAAGGGAAACGAUUGAAGUCAGUCGUGCCUGCCUAGUCUCAGCCUUUUGGUGUACUACUAGGUCGGCAGGUCAGCAUCAGUUUGGGAGGAUUAACAAGGGAGCUAGGAAUGUGGCAACCUCGGUUGUGUUAUAGCCUAGUUUCGCAUUGAUCUUGCUGGACUGAGGAACGCAGUGCGCCCGCAAGGGUUGGUCUUCGGACACAUUCGCACUUAGGAUGCUGGCAUAAUGGCUUUAAACGACCCGUCCUGAAACACGGACC